AUUAAACCAUUUUCUG
rnacentral:tRNA from 1 species